CCUACGGGCGGCAGCAGUGAGGAAUAUUGGUCAAUGGACGAGAGUCUGAACCAGCCAAGUAGCGUGAAGGAUGACUGCCCGAUGGGUUGUAAACUGCUUUUAUAUGGGAAUAAAACAGGGUAUGCAUACCCUCUUGUAUGUACAAUAUGAAUAAGGAUCGGCUAACUCCGUGCCAGCAGCCGCGGUAAUACGGAGGAUCCGAGCGUUAUCCGGAUUUAUUGGGUUGAAGGGGAGCGUAGGUGGCUUGUUAAGUCAGGUGUGAACGUUUGCGGCUCAACCGUAAAAUUGAAGUUGAAACUGGCAGUCUUGAGUACAGUAGAGGUGGGCGGAAU
rnacentral:rRNA from 1 species